rnacentral:rRNA from 1 species
AACGAACGCUGGCGGCGCGCCUAAUACAUGCAAGUCGAGCGAGAAGGUGUAGCAAUACACUUGUAAAGCGGCGAACGGGUGAGGAAUGCAUGGGUAACCUACCCUCGAGUGGGGAAUAACUAGCCGAAAGGUUAGCUAAUACCGCAUACGUUUCCGGAACUUCGGUUUCGGAAAGAAAGCAAUACCGUGGGUAUUGCGCUCCUGGAUGGGCUCAUGUCCUAUCAGCUUGUUGGUGAGGUAACGGCUCACCAAGGCUUCGACGGGUAGCUGGUCUGAGAGGACGAUCAGCCACACUGGCACUGCGACACGGGCCAGACUCCUACGGGAGGCAGCAGUAAGGAAUAUUGCGCAAUGGACGAAAGUCUGACGCAGCGACGCCGCGUGGGGGAUGAAGGUCUUCGGAUUGUAAAGCUCUUUUGUCAGGGAAGAAACGGUGAGUUCUAAUAAAGCUUGCUAAUGACGGUACCUGAAGAAUAAGCACCGGCUAACUAACGUGCCAGCAG